ACAUUUUUUUCAAAUUUAAAACAUUUUUUUUUCAAAAUCAUUUUGUCAUUUUCCAGGGCAUAUCCUAAGGGGAAGGAGUAGGGGACCUGACAUUCUGCUUUAAUUAAAAUCCCAAAUUCCUUACCCUAGAAUACCUGCCUCUUUGUAACCCAGUACUCUCCAUUUUGUAUUUCCACCUAGUUUAGAUAGGAAUCUCAAAAACGUGGAUAUUACUUUUGUUUGUUUGUUUGCUUGUGAUGGGGUUUCACUUUGUCACCCAGACUGAAGUCCAGUGGUGUGAACAUGGCUCACUGCAGCCUCAACCUCCUGGGCUCCAGCAGUCCUCUGAUCCUCCCACCUCAGCCUCAGAAGAAGAAACAUCAACUGGAGAUACAAAGGAUGAAGUGACGACACUAGCGGAUGUCUGGGUGGCUCGAGCCAACGAGUGCAUGUGUCCAGUAUGAAGGCCACUGGUCACCGUCACUGGUCACUGGCCAUUCAGAUGAUACAAAUGUACAGGCCACCCCCAGCAAACCCCAAGAUUCUACCAGGCAGUGGUAGGUUUGGAGGGAGAAUGAUGUCACAAAGCAGGCAGUUUAAAGGUCUGCCAUAGCCAAUAGGGAGGUCAGAUUCCCCAACAAGACAGGAUUGGCUGGCAGAGGUGGUAGGGAAAGCUGCAGACACUAAGUGGCUGAGCUCUGGGGAGGUGAAAUCUGCAAGACAGACGUGAUAGUCCCACUUUCCCCCAGGCUCUCAUGUUAGGGAGAUCGUCUGAAUGUUUCUCUUAAAUGUUCACUCAU